AAUACCCGGUUUUGACCACAGGAGGGCAGUGUUUCCCGUCCCAUAGCAUUAACAUGGAGGCCGUCGUAGGCCCUUUGCCCAGGAUCGGGACACCGAGAAGCUAAGCCCCAAAGCGCAGAGGGUCAGCCAAAGGAUCGCCGCUCUAUGCUCCUGCGAAAGGGACGGGCCGCUUCCCUCGGCGUUCUGCGCAUGUCCGCCGGCUGGUUCUUUACGGAUACUCUCCGAGAGGCCCUCUCUGCACGAAGGACUUCCUGUCCGUGGGUGUCGGCCGUCCCCCAGGUCCUGCGGUAAAAGGACCUUUGCAUCAUAGCCGACUUCCGUUCCUUCGUUCUUAAUCUUUCCCCCUACUUCCUUUCGUGGAGACCUUCUCAGCAUGGCUCAAGUUCGCCGUCCUCCAUUGUCUUUGAAAUGCGACCUUCCCAACAUGGCCGCCUUCCGGUCCGUCCUUCUUAAUCAUCCUUCAUCUUCCUUUUGCGGGGACCUUCUGGGGUGGGCGGACUCCACGUCCGAUCAACGAGCGACCGCAAUAUCCGUUUUUGACCAAAGGAGGGCACAGUUUUCCGUCCCGUAGCAUGACCAACGACGACGACGUUCCCAGUACGUCCGACUUCCUGUCCAUCCGCCGAGGCCGUCCCCAACUUCCUGUCCGUUCGCAGGACGGUUCCCUGCUUUUUCCCGUCCUCUUUUCUGCAUUACGUUGACUGAGGCCGCAGGAAGGAAAAAAGGAAGCCUGCUACUGCCUCAGCUCCUUUUUAGAUGCGGGGCCGGCGGGGCACGCUCAAGGCUUUUGGCGUCCGGGUCGGGAAGGGGGUUCCGACCCGUCUCGGGGGUCUCCUCGAAGGCUGCCAAGCAAGGCAGCCGUUGAAUGGUGUUUUCCCAGCGCCAGAGUCCCAGAUGUAGAAGAA